AAAAGAGUCUUUCAGCUCUAAAUUUUUAUUUUUUUUUAAAUUUAAUGUAAAUUUUUGUGAAAAAUGAAAUUUAUUAUAAAUAAAUAAAUUUAUUAUUUUAAUUACAGUAAUUAAUUUUUUAAAUUUGGGAGUUUAAGAUAAAGAUAAUAAUAAUUAGUACAAACAAAAUUUGUGCCAGCAGUUGCGGUUACACAGGUUGUGCGGUAAAAAUAGUUUAGAUAGAGUUAAAAAUUUUUGUAUAUAAAAAGUUUAAAAUUAUUUUAUAAGGUGAAAUUUUAUUUUUAAAAAAUUUUUGAAUGUACAAGAUUUUGAGGCUUAGAAAUUUUUUUUAAAACUAGGAUUAGAUACCCUAUUAUAGAAAUGUAAGUUUUUAUCUAAAUUAGUGCUAGAAUUGAGAUUUUAAUCUAAUGUUCUUGAAAAUUAAGAAGGGUGGCGGUAUUUUAGUCUUUUCAGAGGAACCUGUCCUAUAAUUGAUAAUCCACGAUUUUUAUUACUUUUUUUAAAAAUUUAUAUAUCGCCGUGGUUGAAUAUUUUUUUUGAAAUAUAAUAUUCAAGAUUUUUAUAAAGAUAAAAAUUCAGGUCAAGAUGUAGUUUAUAAAAAAGUAGAGAUGGGUUACAAUAAUUUAAAUUUUGGAAGAAUUUUUGAAAAUAAUUUUAAAAUUGGAUUUGAAAGUAAUUUUAUAGAUUAAUAUAAGAUGAUUUUAGCUCUAAAAUGUGCACAUAUCGCCCGUCGCUUUCACUUUAAAGUGAAAUAAGUCGUAACAUAGUAGAUGUACUGGAAAGUGUCUCUAGAAGACG
rnacentral:ncRNA from 1 species